AGUGAACGCUGGCGGUAGGCCUAACACAUGCAAGUCGAACGGCAGCACAGUAAUAGCUUGCUCUUACGGGUGGCGAGUGGCGGACGGGUGAGGAAUACAUCGGAAUCUACUUUUUCGUGGGGGAUAACGUAGGGAAACUUACGCUAAUACCGCAUACGACCUACGGGUGAAAGCAGGGGAUCUUCGGACCUUGCGCGAUUGAAUGAGCCGAUGUCGGAUUAGCUAGUUGGCGGGGUAAAGGCCCACCAAGGCGACGAUCCGUAGCUGGUCUGAGAGGAUGAUCAGCCACACUGGAACUGAGACACGGUCCAGACUCCUACGGGAGGCAGCAGUGGGGAAUAUUGGACAAUGGGCGCAAGCCUGAUCCAGCCAUACCGCGUGGGUGAAGAAGGCCUUCGGGUUGUAAAGCCCUUUUGUUGGGAAAGAAGAGCAGCAGGUUAAUACCCCGCUGUUCUGACGGUACCCAAAGAAUAAGCACCGGCUAACUUCGUG
rnacentral:rRNA from 1 species